CAAUAGCGUAUAUUAAAGUUGUUGCGGUUAAAAGCUCGUAGUUGGAUUUCUGCUGAGGACGACCGGUCCGCCCUCUGGGUGAGUAUCUGGCUUGGCCUUGGCAUCUUCUUGGAGAACGUAGCUGCACUUGACUGUGUGGUGCGGUAUCCAGGACUUUUACUUUGAGGAAAUUAGAGUGUUUCAAGCAGGCACACGCCUUGAAUACAUUAGCAUGGAAUAAUAAGAUAGGACCUUGGUUCUAUUUUGUUUGGUUUCGUUAGAGCUGAGGUAAGUAGAUUAAUUAAGGGAGUAGUUGGGGGUCGGAUUCGUAUUUAACUUAGUCAGAGGU
rnacentral:rRNA from 1 species